GUGGGUAUAGCUCAGCUGGUUAGAGCGCCAGGUUGUGGCCCUGGAGGCCAAGGGUUCGAAUCCCUUUACUCACCCCA
rnacentral:tRNA from 1 species